rnacentral:rRNA from 1 species
AACGAACGCUGGCGGCAUGCCUAACACAUGCAAGUCGAACGAGACCUUCGGGUCUAGUGGCGCACGGGUGCGUAACGCGUGGGAACCUGCCCUUAGGUUCGGAAUAACUCCCCGAAAGGGGUGCUAAUACCGGAUAAUGUCUUAGGACCAAAGAUUUAUCGCCUUUGGAUGGGCCCGCGUUGGAUUAGCUAGUUGGUAGGGUAAAAGCCUGCCAAGGCGACGAUCCAGAGCUGGUCUGAGAGGAGGAUCAGCAACACUGGGACUGCGACACGGCCCAGACUCCUACGGGAAGCAGCAGUGGGGAAUAUUGGACACUGGGCGAAAGCCUGAUCCAGCAAUGCCGCGUGAGUGAUGAAGGCCUUAGGGUUGUAAAGCUCUUUUACCCGGGAUGAUAAUGACAGUACCGGGAGAAUAAGCUCCGGCUAACUCCGUG